AUGGCUAUAAUUAACAAGACAGGAAACAACAUGUGUUGGAGAGGAUGUGGAGAGAAGGGAACUCUCAUACACGGCUAGUGGCAGUGCAAACUGGUACAGCCACUCUGGAAA